ACUUACUGAACGUUUAACACGCUUUGUGGACUAAUCUCAUGUGUU
rnacentral:rRNA from 1 species